rnacentral:rRNA from 1 species
CCUACGGGGGACAGCAGUGAGGAAUAUUGGUCAAUGGACGAGAGUCUGAACCAGCCAAGUAGCGUGAAGGAUGACUGCCCUAUGGGUUGUAAACUUCUUUUAUAUGGGAAUAAAAUGUUCCACGUGUGGGAUUUUGUAUGUACCAUAUGAAUAAGGAUCGGCUAACUCCGUGCCAGCAGCCGCGGUAAUACGGAGGAUCCGAGCGUUAUCCGGAUUUAUUGGGUUUAAAGGGAGCGUAGGUGGAUUGUUAAGUCAGUUGUGAAAGUUUGCGGCUCAACCGUAAAAUUGCAGUUGAAACUGGCAGUCUUGAGUACAGUAGAGGUGGGCGGAAUUCGUGGUGUAGCGGUGAAAUGCUUAGAUAUCAGGAGGAACACCGGUGGCGAAGGCGGCCUGCUGGACUGCGACUGACGUUGAGGCCCGAAAGCGUGGGGAGCAAACAGGAUUAGAUACCCCUGUAGUC